rnacentral:rRNA from 1 species
GGGCUGCAGUAUUUUGACUGUACAAAGGUAGCAUAAUCAUUAGUCUCUUAAUUGGUGACUUGUAUGAAAGAUUGGAUGAGAUAUGAACUGUCUCUAAUUGAUUUAUAAAAUUUAAUUUUUUAAUAAAAAAGUUAAAAUAAUUUUAAAAGACGAGAAGACCCUAUAGAGUUUUAUAAUUUAUUUAAUUAUUAUUAAUAUGUAAAUUUUAAUUUAAAAAUUAAAUAAAUUAUUUUAUUGGGGUGAUUGAAAAAUUUGAUGAACUUUUUUUAAAGAUAAACAUUAAUUUAUGAAUAAAGGAUCCAUUAUUAGUGAUUGAAAGAAUAAAUUACCUUAGGGAUAACAGCGUAAUUUUUUUUUUUAGUUCAAAUAGGAAAAAGAGUUUGCGACCUCGAUGUUGGAUUAA